CUGCACCCGAGGCAUGCAGACAUCUAUUGCAAGUUCUAAAGGGUUAAGAGAUUUCAGUUUUAUUGUGAUCUGAGUAGCUGAGUAGCUGAGUAGCUGAGUUCUAUUCUUUAACAUUAAAGGGGAUGCUCCCAUUUCCAUCAACAGCAGAAUUCUCAUUAACUUCAGCAUUAAAUGGGAAUAUUCACUGAGCACCUGUCAGGGGAAAAAGAUAUGGUAGAAAUUGGAGAGUUUUAAAUACCUAUACUGAAAACAUUGAUCCAAACAUACUGAGAUGCUGGCAGUUCAGGAAAAUCUUCAUUGAUAACUCCUUAAGAAAUUAACCUGCUGCCUUUCUCUGAUUGUGAUUUUGUGUACAAAAAGCUUAACCCUUAGGACAUUGACAUUUUACCAAAUGACCAAGCAAACAGUCAGAGCACAGCUGGAUUUCAGUCAGAAAGUCUCCUGGGCAAAGUCUCCUGGAGUUUUGAAGGUCCCUAAGCCUAUUAUCAAGGCCUUGGAAAAUGAAACAUGACCCAGGGUAAGGGAGGGUGGAGUUAAGGACUACUUAAGCAAGCUGGAUGCAACAACCCCAUGGGACUAGAUGGAAUGCCCCUCAGGACGUUGUGGGGUUGAUGCCCCUGAGACACACUCUGUAUAAUCUUCAAAUUAUCAUGGUGUUUCAGAAAGAGGUUUCCGACAACUUGGGAAAGGAAUUAAGCAACUAGCCCUUAGGAUGAAGAUUUCAGGAAACCAGCAAAGUGCUUUGAACUGAAGAAGCACAGGACUUGAGAUGCACACAAUAUAAAAAGAAAGCAGUUAUGAUGCUAAGAGGGACAAUGCUGCCUACACCCAGGUGAAAUUACAAGAUGUUUGGCUGGGGAAUUGCAACAUAAAGAUCUAUCUUUACAUGAGAAUAUGAUACAACAAUUACAUUUAUAAACCUGUAAGAUCAGCACACAAAUUUUUGAGCAGUGUGUAUAAUAGCGAAUUCAUCAUCUUCUCCAGCAUUCUAAAUGCCAUUCUUGCAGCAAGGAAUGAGGACAGGUCAGCAUCAUGGGCACUACUAAAGAACCAUCGAUAGACAACUCUCUUCGUGUUUCUCUGAAGUUCCUAUGGACUGUAUCCAUGGUACCCACUACUCUUUGACACGAGGAUAGAAAGUAUUCAACUUCUUAAAAGAUGUGCUAUGACUUCAAAUAUGUUUUUAGAUCCAACUAUGACUGGCUGAGACUCUUCUAAGGAUCAGCUCCUGAGUUAAGGGCCCAUUUACUGAGGUCCUGAAGCACUGACAGCACUUAAUGAAAUGACUCCCUGAGCCAGUCCAGAAUCUGAAAACUGAACAGCUCUGCAGCAGCACCCAGUACAUCAAAAGAUAAGAGCCAUUUUCCCUUCUCCCUGUGUGCUAUUGAGGCUGGCUUGCAAGCUCAGUUUCUCAGAUGUUUCAAAUACACUGAUGAGGCCAGCAUCAAAAAAGUCAGACCGAAAAUUAAUGGGGAUUUUGGCCAUCCCAAUCCCCUAAAUCUGCAUAGCUCUCUUUCUAGAAGAGUUUUUGUAUAAUAGAUGAGAAUGUUUCCUUUUAAAUUUCAUUUAGGUCACAGUGAUCAACUGGGACAUGAGAAAAUUUUUGAAUACUGUAAAAUCUGCCUAUGAUCAUGUGCUGUGGGAUGGCUCAGUGUACUCAGAGUGCACAGGAGGAUUAACUCCAGCUCCGUACCCUACAUCCUGCUCAAACAGCCUGGCUUUGUAAUAAACAUUAUAAGAAGUAAUUGCAGCCACAGAAGAGAGAAACAGCCCUGCAGACUCCAAUGUCAGCGCAUAAGGAGGAAAAGGAGGUGCUCCAACCACGGGAUGUGAGAUUCCCCUGCAGUUCAUGGAGGCCCAUGAUGGAGCAGAGAUCCACUUUCAGCCAGCUGAGGAUGCAGGAGCAGGCAAAUGCCCAAAAGAUGGCUGUGAUUCCAAGGAAAGCCCACUUUGUGCAGGAUCUAUGGCCCUGUGGAGAGAAACCCAUGCGAGAGCAGGUUUGUUGACAGGACUUGUGACCUCUGGAACCCAUGCUGGAGAAACCUGUUCCUGAAGGACUCACCAUGUGGAAAGUGACUAAUGCUGGAGCAGUUUAUGAAGAACUGCAGCUGAAAGGAUGGACUGAGAGUGCAAAAGUUCAUGGAGGACUGUCUCCUGUAGGAGGAACUUCAUAUUGGGGAAGGACUCCUCUCCUUGAGCAGCAGCAGAAGCAACUGACCACAGCAUCCAUUCCCUGACUCCCUCCACUACUGAUGGGGAAGAAGUAGAGAAUCUGUAAUAAAACUGAGCCUGGGAAGGAGAGAGGAGUGGGAGGAAGAUGUUUUUAGGAUUUGUUUUACUUUUUACUAUCCUGUUCUGCUUUUAAUUGGCAAUAAAUUCAACUAAUUUC